rnacentral:rRNA from 1 species
UACAGAGGGGGCAAGCGUUAUUCGGAAUUAUUGGGCGUAAAGGGCGCGUAGGCGGCGAUUCAAGUGACGGGUGAAAUCCCUCGGCUUAACCGAGGAACUGCCUGUCAGACUGGAUUGCUUGAGGCCGGGAGAGGUGAGUGGAAUUCCCAGUGUAGCGGUGAAAUGCGUAGAUAUUGGGAGGACACCAGUGGCGAAGGCGGCUCACUGGACCGGUACUGACGCGUGAUGCGCGAAAGCGUGGGAGCAAACAGG